AGACCGCGGCGGUGCUUGGCCGAGCCUUGCGAGGCGCCUGUCACAUGAGCCGCGCGCCCGCUCCGCUCCCCCUCCUCCUGGCUGGGCUGUGAAUGAAGCUCUGCCGGCUACGUGGGGCGCUAGCUCAACUCAGUGUCCCGGACGCCAGAGCCGACUGAGCGCUCUGCCCGCCGGCGGCGGACACGGGCUCCGCCGCUCCGGACUUCGGCGACAGGUUCUGAGCUGGAACACCUUGCCGAAAACCAGACGGCACAGCUGCUCGUCCAUCUACGUCCCAGUCAAGCCUGCCUACAAAACUGGGGAGGGGGGGGGUCUGGGAAACUCUGAGCCUGUGACCCCAACGUGGGAGAGAAUAGGAUCAAGAUGGCCAUGUGGCAAGGUAAGAAGUUCGCUCUUCUUCCUCUCACUGGUUUUUUUCCUCCUCUAUCCUCCAUCCCAACCCAAACCCCCAAGCCCAUGGCAGGCCGCCAGCCAGCUGUUUCUUUAAUUUAACCCUUUGUCUUCCCAAGGACAAAGCAUAUUAGUUUAAAAGGAGUUGCUGCCAGCUGGACGUUCAGAGUAUUUUAAAGUAGGGGUGGAGGGAUGUGUGUGUGUGUGUGGGGGGGGGUAUAGGUGUAGCAGGAAAAUGUAGUGCCGGAAGCAUUUUCAAAGAACUCCCUUCAUUCGAACAUGUGCUCCUGGGAGGUGAUAUGUAAGGAGACAGAAGGUGGUCUUUUUUCCUUUCUCUUUUUCUUCUCUUUUUUUUUUCAUAUUUUUGUUUCUUAUUUAUUUCUGGCAAAUUUCUAUCAUCAAGUUCUCCAAGGUGGGGGAGUCAGAUGUCAGCACUUCCCUGGCUCCCUCUUCCCAAUGGAGACUUGAAAGCAUAUUUAAUGUUAUAGUGUUUAUAUUUGAUGAUAGAAGGAAAAUGCCUGUUUUAAUACUGUGGAAUGACCUUAAAGCAAAGCUCAAUGAUAUCUUGCCUGAUGGAUUCCAUCUCUUAUGAACCUAUGAAUUCUUAACCACAUGCAAAAAAAGUUAAUUUUUCUUUUUGCUGGGGUCGGGGAUUGGGCCUUUUGGGAGAGUAGCAGAAUCUCCAGGGGUGUGUGGGAUUUUGAUGUUUAUCAAAAGGAAGUAUGGGCGUUCCUGCUGUGGCACAAUGAGCUCCGCGGUGUCUCUGGAGUACUGGGACGCAGGUUCGAUCCCCGGCCCGGCACAGUGGGGUUAAGGAUCCAGCUGUCACAACUACGGCUCAGAUCUCUGACUCCUGGCCUGGGAAUUCCGUAUGCCACAGGGCAGCCUAAAAAGAAAACAAAAUUAAAAGGAGGUCUGGGUUUAAGAAACGGUAGACAAAAACAAGAACAAAAAGAAAUGGUAGACAGACACUACCCAGAUUGGUCUGUGACCCACAAAAGGUUAAGGACCAUUUAGAUGGAGUAGAAUGAAAGGAGCGCGAAUGUCUGUAAAUAUUCAACAAGUAGGUUUGUUGGUGGUCAAAUGUAUCUUUUAAAACUGGCUCCUGUUGGUUAUGGUUUGUGACAAAUAUUUUUGAUGUGCGCCGUCAAUUUAAAGAUACUCAUUGAAAUGAGGUUUGGCCCCGUAUACCUGCUUUUUUUGCGGGGGUGGGGGGGGACACACUUUUUUUAGGGCGUAUGGAAGUUCCCAGGCGAGGGAUCCAAUUGGAGCUAUAGCUGCUGGCCUACGCCACAGCCACAGCAAUGCAGGAUCCUUAACCCACUGAGCAAGGCCAGGGAUCAAAUCUGCAUCCUCAUGGAUACUAACUGGGUUUGUAACCCCCUGAGCCACAACAGGAACUCCCCUGAGUGCCUGCUUUGACUUCCCCAAUGGGCAUUUAUCAGGAGCAGUUUGGAUAUUCUUGUUUAAGUCCUGAGACAUUCUUUCAUUCGACAAGUAGAAUGCAGAGAUGGGUAAGGUGCAGAACCCUAGAGGGUUCCUUGUCUUAUGGCGGAGACAUAGUUAUAAACAAAUGACUGUGUCGGGUUGAAUAAGUGUUAAAAUAGGGAGACGCGCAAAAUGCGAUGGAGGGCCAGAGAAAAGAGAGAUGGACGGUGAGUUUUGAGUUGGGCUAAGGAAAAUGAGUGGGAGUUCGCCAGAUGGGCAAAUGAGAGAAUUGCGUUUUGGGCAGACAGAGAAGCACUGUCAGGGGAACUUGCAAGUUGCUCUGUUGGCCUCAUGUGAGGUGUGUGGGCUGCAACCUCAGACAAAGCAGAGAAGGUAGUCGGAGGCCGGAUGAUAAAAGAACCUUACAUGUUCGGAGUUCCUGUCGUGGCUCAGUGGUGAACGAACCCCACUAGGAACCAUGAGGUUGCGGGUUCGAUCCCUGGCCUCGCUCAGUGGGUUAAGGAUCCGGCGUUGCCGUGAGCUGUGGUGUAGGUCACAGACACGGCUCAGAUCCUGCGUGGCUGUGGCUCUGGCGUAGGCCGGUGGCUGCAGCUCCGAUUUGACCCCUAGCCUGGGAACCUCCAUAUGCCACGGGAACGGCCCUAGAAAAGGCAAAAAGACAAAAAACAAACAAACAAACAAAAAAACCCUUAUAUGUCCUAGGAAGGAUUUUAUACUUUAUUCCAAAGACAGAGAUUCUAAACAGGGAAAUAACGUAAUAAGAUUUUGUUGGAGGAUAAUUUCCUUGGCAGCAGUGUUGAGGUGGGAUUGGAGCCGGAGAGAAUGAGAGCCCAGAGCCAUUUGGGAGGUUUCUGGCAGAGCGGUUUCAGGAAGAAAUGCUGAGGGUCUGAGCAGAAGCAGGAGCAGCAAGGCUAGACACAUUCUGUGACUGGAUGUGGAGGGGGAACCCAGCUUGGGUUGAUACCCAGUUUGGGCACCUGGGGCCGGUGGUGCCAUUCACUGAGAUGGGGAACAUGGGAGGUGGCGAGCAGGGCAUGGGGGCGGUGGGAAGUUAGUGUGCCUAGUUUGGUUUGGCCGUUUUGUUUGAGACCCCUUGCAGGCUGUCAGGUCGAUGUUUAAAAAGACAGUCCUCGGCGUUCCUGUCGUGGCACAGCAGAAACGAAUCUGACUAGGACCCAUGAGGUGGCGGGUUCCAUCCCCAGCCUCGCUCAGUGUGUUAAGGAUCCGGUGUUAAGGAUCUGGAGCUGUGGUGUAGGUUGCAGAUGCGGCUCAGAUCCCGUGUGGCUGUGCCUGUGGGGUAGGCCAACAGCCGUAGCUCCGAUUGGACCCCUAGCCUGGGCACCUCCCUAUGCUGCAGGCGUGGCCCUAAAAAAGCAAAAAAAAAAAAAAAAAAAAAA
rnacentral:lncRNA from 1 species